AUGUGGUUCAACGUGGUGUCCUUACUAGUACUCCUCAGAGGUGUCCAAUCUGAGGUUCAGUUGGUGGAGUCUGGAGGGGAUGUGAGAAGACCUGGAGAAUCCCUCCGACUCUCCUGCCAAGCCUCUGGAUUCACCUUCAGCGGUUAUAGUUUGACCUGGGUGAGACAGGCUCCUGGGAAAGGACUGGAAUGGGUUGCAUACAUCUAUCCUGAUUCUAGUGGAAUAUUUUACUCAGACAAAGUCAAGGGACGCUUCACCAUCUCCAGGGACAAUGCCAAAAGCCAGAUGUAUCUGCAAAUGAACAGCCUCAAACUAGAGGACACAGCUGUCUAUUACUGUGCAAGAGACACAGUGAGAGGAAGUUAA